GACGAACGCUGGCGGCGUGCUUAACACAUGCAAGUCGAACGGAAAGUUCCUGCUAUUUUGGGUUGCUCGAGUGGCGAACGUGUGUGUAACACGGGAGUAUCCGGCCCUUGACUGUGGGAUAACUUCAGGAAAGUGGUGCUAAUACCGGAUAGGAGCUCAUGCUGCAUGGUGGGGGAGGAAAAGAUGAGGCGGUGGGGGAUGGACUCGCGGCUUGUCAGCUUGUUGGUGGGGUAGUGGCUUACCGAGGCGUGGACGGGUAGCCGGCCUGAGAGGGUGACCGGCCAGAUUGGGACUGAGAUACGGCCCAGACUACUCCGGGAGGCAGAAGUGGAGAGUAUUGCACAAUGGGCGGAAGCCUGAUGCAGUGACGCGGCGUGCGGGAUGACGACCUUCGGGUUGUAAAGCGCUUUCGCCUGUGACGAAGAGUGAGUGACGGUAAUGGGUAAAGAAGCACCGGCUAACUACGUG
rnacentral:rRNA from 1 species